CCACAUGAGUUCCUCUUCUUUCCUAAUAAAACUAACCCCUCUUCUUUUUGAUAGAUAAAAUCUUUUUUGUUUUUUUAAUGCAAAGAGAUUACAUGAAAGGUCACAGAAAAUGCAAAAUAAAUUUGAGAGAUAAGCAUAAGCAUACAAGUUGCUAGCUUUUAAAAACAUCAAAAGCUCAAGAAACUAGGGAGGAGCUAAAGAAGAAAUAGCCUCCAUAUAUACUCACUAGAGAUCCUUAAUUGAAUGGUCCACGAUUGCCUCAGCCUCCAGGCCCUCCACGACCAUGGUUUCUGCGUCCACCGACAUGAGUAUAUUACAUCUCUUGAACCUUUUGAGCUGCCUUUAUUGGUCAUCCUUCUCAAGAUCUCUAACUCUCUAAG